rnacentral:lncRNA from 1 species
AAAUUCUCUGUUGUGAGGGGAGUUUUCCAUGAGGAUUAGAAAGACAUCAGCUAGAGAAUUGGUUUUAAAAGUUAUUAUUCUAUUCUGUUGCACAUCAUGGAGUGCUCUUUAGAAAAGUAAUUUACUGUUCUUUUUCACCAGCGAUUGCUCUCAGUUCCCUAAGACAGUGCUUUACAGAACACAUUUCUAUUCUAGUAGGAAAACCCUGGUCAGCCUGGCUAUUGAUUUACUCACUCGAAAUGUACCAGCAGAGCAAACGUGGAAAUUAAGUGCACAAAGUGCAGUUUCCACCAGCCUGCAGCACCUGCUGUACAUAAGAACGUCUCUGAUGCAUAACCCCGCUUUUACCAUGAUUCAGCCAAUCCACUUUCCUUUUACCACGAUCCUUGUUUUGGGAUUAAUAGCGGCUCCAUCGUUCCCCACUCCUCCCUGUUUGUUUAUGAGCACCUUUCCCUGCGUCGUAAAUGGGCAGCGAUGAAACUGGAAGGCUCAAAGGGAUAAGAUCUGAUGCGACAGUGGUCCUAUAGUCCUAUGCGACAGUGGUUUUCAUAAUAAGCUCAAUUAUGAAAACAGUUUUCAUCUGUUGUCUAAUAAUCCAUAGUUGCAUUUCAUACAUUAUAACAUAAACAUAAAGAAUACAGUUUUUGGCAAAUCAAGAGACGUUGUUAGCUACCAUUACUAUGCUUUCUGCAUCAUGAAAAUAUAAAGACAGAUUAUUUCCACUUCU